rnacentral:rRNA from 1 species
ACCUGCCUCAUACAGGGGGAUAACAGUUAGAAAUGACUGCUAAUACCGCAUAAGACCACAGAGCCGCAUGGCUCGGUGGGAAAAACUCCGGUGGUAUGAGAUGGACCCGCGUCUGAUUAGGUAGUUGGUGGGGUAACGGCCUACCAAGCCAACGAUCAGUAGCCGACCUGAGAGGGUGACCGGCCACAUUGGGACUGAGACACGGCCCAAACUCCUACGGGAGGCAGCAGUGGGGAAUAUUGCACAAUGGGGGAAACCCUGAUGCAGCGACGCCGCGUGAGCGAAGAAGUAUUUCGGUAUGUAAAGCUCUAUCAGCAGGGAAGAAAAUGACGGUACCUGACUAAGAAGCACCGGCUAAAUACGUGCCAGCAGCCGCGGUAAUACGUAUGGUGCAAGCGUUAUCCGGAUUUACUGGGUGUAAAGGGAGCGUAGACGGCUGUGUAAGUCUGAAGUGAAAGCCCGGGGCUCAACCCCGGGACUGCUUUGGAAACUAUGCAGCUAGAGUGUCGGAGAGGUAAGUGGAAUUCCCAGUGUAGCGGUGAAAUGCGUAGAUAUUGGGAGGAACACCAGUGGCGAAGGCGGCUUACUGGACGAUGACUGACGUUGAGGCUCGAAAGCGUGGGGAGCAAACAGGAUUAGAUACCCUGGUAGUCCACGCCGUAAACGAUGACUACUAGGUGUCGGGGAGCAAAGCUCUUCGGUGCCGCAGCAAACGCAAUAAGUAGUCCACCUGGGGAGUAC